GAGGCAGAGAGGGGGAAUUGGAGGAAAUGCACAUGGGGAGGGAUAGCUCAGUGGUUUGAGCAUUGGCCUGCUAAACCCAGGGUUGUGAGCUCAGGCCUUGAGGGGGCCACUUAGGAUUCUGGGGCAAAAAUCAGUACUUGGUCCUGCUAGUGAAGGCAGCGGGCUGGGCUUGAUGACCUUCUGGGGUUCCUUCCAGUUCUAUGAGAUAGGUAUAUCUCCAUAUAUUUAUGUGAUAUGAGGAUCACCAAGAGGAAUGGGAGUAGGAAGGAGGGAUACUUUAUUCUAAGUCUAGGCUCCGGAUCUCACUGAGCCACCGGCCCGCUGUAUAACACAGUUCCUGUUGAUAGUGUAUGUUGGCCCUUAGCUCUCUUUCAGGGGUUUAGGUGGUUUAUAGAAUCAGUAGAUGCCCUAGUGCCCGCAGCAUGGUGGAUUUUGCAUCAUAGAUAGAAUGAGGCAUUUUGGGUUUACCUCUCCAUUGCCUAAAUGAAGGAACAAUUUCCACCUCCAUCUUGAAUUGUACUGGGGCUAAGGUGCAUCAAAUCCAUUUCUAGCAGCACAACUUAUAUGAGGUGCUCCAUGGUAUAAAGAUAAAACUCUGCUGAUUAGAAACUGGAUGAUCAUUCUGCACUGCCUCCUAGAGGAUUUGACUGGAAGAUUUCACCAUAAUAAAGGAGCAGGAUGCCAUCACUUCAGCAUGACUAUUCCUGUAUGUAGUCUUCUAACUUGUAGAAUGUGGCUUUGCAUAAACACAUGAAUAAAAUCU
rnacentral:lncRNA from 1 species